rnacentral:rRNA from 1 species
AGUGAACGCUGGCGGCGUGCUUAACACAUGCAAGUCGAACGAGAACGGAAUAUAGCUUGCUAUAUUUGUCAGCUAAGUGGCGCACGGGUGAGUAAUAUAUAGAUAACCUGCCCUUAAGAAAGGAAUAACAGUUGGAAACGACUGCUAAUGCCCUAUAUGCCUUUAAUACAUAAGUAUGCAAGGGAAACGCUUUAGUGCUUAAGGAUGGGUCUGUAUGGUAUCAGCUUGUUGGUGAGGUAAUGGCUCACCAAGGCUAUGACGCCUAACUGGUUUGAGAGGAUGAUCAGUCACACUGGGACUGAGACACGGUCCAGACUCCUACGGGAGGCAGCAGUGGGGAAUAUUGCACAAUGGACGAAAGUCUGAUGCAGCAACGCCGCGUGGAGGAUGACACAUUUCGGUGCGUAAACUCCUUUUAUAUAGGAAGAUAAUGACGGUACUAUAUGAAUAAGCACCGGCUAACUCCGUGCCAGCCGCCGCCGUAAGAC